rnacentral:rRNA from 1 species
AACGAACGCUGGCGGCAGGCUUAACACAUGCAAGUCGAACGCACCUUUCGGGGUGAGUGGCCGACGGGUGAGUAACGCGUGGGAAUCUACCCUUCUCUACGGGAUAGCUCCGGGAAACUGGAAUUAAUACCGUAUACGUCCUGAGGGAGAAAGAUUUAUCGGGGAAGGAUGGGCCCGCGUUGGAUUAGCUAGUUGGUGGGGUAAAGGCCUACCAAGGCGACGAUCCAUAGCUGGUCUAAGAGGAUGAUCAGCCACAUUGGGACUGAGACACGGCCCAAACUCCUACGGGAGGCAGCAGUGGGGAAUAUUGGACAAUGGGCGCAAGCCUGAUCCAGCCAUGCCGCGUGAGUGAUGAAGGCCCUAGGGUUGUAAAGCUCUUUCAGUGGGGACGAUAAUGACGGUACCCACAGAAGAAGCCCCGGCUAACUUCGUG